UACAGAGGGUGCAAGCGUUGUUCGGAAUUAUUGGGCGUAAAGGAGCUCGUAGGCGGUUCGGCAAGUCGGGAUGUGAAAUCUCCACGCUCAACGUGGAGGGGCCACCCGAUACUGCCAUGACUAGAGUCCGGUAGGGGAGUGUGGAAUUCCCGGUGUAGCGGUGAAAUGCGUAGAUAUCGGGGAGGAACACCAGUGGCGAAGGGCGACUUUCUGGCCUGUUCUUGACGCUGAGGCGCGAAAGCUAGGGGGAGCAAAACGGG
rnacentral:rRNA from 1 species